ACAAGCCCUGGAAACGGGGUCUAAUACCGGAUACUGAUCCGCUUGGGCAUCCAAGUGGUUCGAAAGCUCCGGCGGUGCAGGAUGAGCCCGCGGCCUAUCAGCUUGUUGGUGAGGUAAUGGCUCACCAAGGCGACGACGGGUAGCCGGCCUGAGAGGGCGACCGGCCACACUGGGACUGAGACACGGCCCAGACUCCUACGGGAGGCAGCAGUGGGGAAUAUUGCACAAUGGGCGAAAGCCUGAUGCAGCGACGCCGCGUGAGGGAUGACGGCCUUCGGGUUGUAAACCUCUUUCAGCAGGGAAGAAGCGAAAGUGACGGUACCUGCAGAAGAAGCGCCGGCUAACUACGUGCCAGCAGCCGCGGUAAUACGUAGGGCGCAAGCGUUGUCCGGAAUUAUUGGGCGUAAAGAGCUCGUAGGCGGCUUGUCACGUCGGUUGUGAAAGCCCGGGGCUUAACCCCGGGUCUGCAGUCGAUACGGGCAGGCUAGAGUUCGGUAGGGGAGAUCGGAAUUCCUGGUGUAGCGGUGAAAUGCGCAGAUAUCAGGAGGAACACCGGUGGC
rnacentral:rRNA from 1 species